ACCAAAGAAGCGGAGGGUGCGGACCCUCUUGCGAGCGGCGGAGAAAAUAUCCGGGUAUGUAAGAAAGGAUUUUAUUUUUCUUGAGGUGUUUGGGUUUGGAAACUGUCGCUUGCUGUUCCUGACACGGAAACUUCUGGGACUGGGGGCUCAGAGGGAGGAAGACGAUGCCGAUAGGUAGAUCGUAGAAAGGAGCUGUCUUGCUUCGUUACUGCUGCUCUCUUUCUCGAUCGUUUUUUGGGUUUUGGGGGGAAAGCGGUAUGAGGUGGGUGGCGAGGCCGGACUCGCCGGAGGUGGUGAGGGUGAGCGAAGCCUUGCCCGAGUCCAGCUUCCGCGUGCUCGACUAUGUCUUCUCGCAGAGCUACCGGGUGCCUUAUUGAGCUUGCUCACCAGAAGUGAAGAUUCACUAUGGAAAGGUGGUAAAUAUAAACAUGAAAUUAUAACUUUUGGUCAGGCUUUAGAUUCUGGAGAAUCGUCUAUACCUACUUUGGAAGUUGUCUUGGAUGAAGCAGCAGACAUCCUAAGUGUUGAUUAACCUCAUCAUGACAAUAUCAGUGCUGAAAAUUUCUUGUUCCCAGCUGUUAAUUCAUCCAAAGAUAACACAAAGUUGAGUCUCAUAUCAGAGAUAACUUCAGAUGAACAUGGCACAAACAAAAAUUGGGAAAAUGGGGAUAUUUCCCAGAAUUACAGUUUGUGUACUGAAUUUAAAGAUGUAGGUUCAGCUUUUAGAACUAGUGAAUGGAUUCUACCAAGGAAGUUUGUUGAGCUUGAUGAUACUCAGAUAACAGUGUCAAGAUUUUACAGGAAUAUUAGAUACUUUCUUGAUGACUACAUGCUCUGCACCUUGUUAUAAAAUUUUAGAGGCAGAAAGAACAAUGCUUUUGGGCACAGCAAUGCCGGAAAAGGCAUAUGUUUAUAAUGAUGAUCUACCAAGGGAUACAAACCAGCAACUUAAUGAUUUAGAAGUGCGUAGAGAUGAAGAUGCCGUAAUUGAUAGUGUGUCAACUGUAAAUUGAGCUUGUACCAACUUGAUCAGUGCUUGGAGUGAAUUAAGACCAGACAACCCUGUCACAGAAAAUGAACCUGAGAUGGUAAUGGACAUGGAUGGACAAAGUAAUAGUUUAUAUCAUGAUCCACAAGAAGCAAACAGAGAUUUAAUGGUUGAAGUUGGAUCAAACAUCUUCGGGAAAAAGAUUGGACAGAAUAGAUCCAACCAUCAUAAGGAGCACGAGAAUACCUUUGAAUCUUUCAGAGAAAGCAGUUCAGAUUUGAUUGGAUUGGAUACUAAUUAUGAGCAUUCAAUGUCUGCUUCUACCACUGAUGAUUCAUGCAUGUCAACCGAUUGUGGGCUAUACAGUGAACAAACUCUUAUGGAACUAAAAAAUAAUGAACAUUUACAUUCAUCAGUACCCACUGCAGUGUUUUCUGUUCAUGACUCUAGUCCUCUGUGCCUGCAGCAUUCAGAUAAAAUUGUUCUAAACAAUGCAUACAAGACCUCCCCACAAAUGAUGAACAAUAUUGGAGGGAGAAAUAUUAAUAAUAACCUUGAUAAAAAAUCAAAAUGAGAUUUGUCGGUUGGUGACUGGAGGAGUUGAAGUGACUAAGAACUUUCAAGUACCCUGCAGCUGUUUCUCAAAAGAUGUUCCUUGUAUGGAAUAUAUGGGCUACAUCACCUGAACUCUUUGUACUUCUGAACCUGGUGAUUGUUCUGCUACUGUUCAUACUGGUGCUCCGGCAAACUUUUAGCGAUGACCACACUAGGACUCAAGCAAGUUCGCCGUGCUCAAAUCCUGGAAUUCUAGCUGAAGAGAAAGGUGAUGUCUAUGUUGAGACAAACUUGCAGGUUAGGUAUCAAGCUCAUCAUCUCAUGCAUGAUGUUAGCAUGAGUAUAAACCACACAGUUCCUGAUUCUACUGAAGAAAGAGACGAGGUGAAGCUGUGGUAAAAGCAAUGAGGGAACUGUAGCUGCAACAAGAAACCCGAGAAAGAAGGUGCACAAGUCGAUCUCUGGUAGCGUCACAUUGAUCGGUGCACUGCUUGUUCUCCUUCAUCUGAGGAGAAACAGAGAAAGAGAAAGUUUGUCGCACUAUUGUUUCUCUACAAAAUAAAGAAACAUGUCAAGAACUUUACACACAAGACAAGAUGGAGAUCGGAAGAAGCUUAAGCUUUAAGGCCAGAAUAGACUCCACUUGAAGCAGGAGUUGGUCUUCAACCUCUUGCUGUAAAUUAGAAAUAACAUGGAGAACGAAAUAGCUGCACAUCUAAUAGAAUCUACAUUGUCUGAUGACCAUAUUUCAAGUGCUCCAACAAGUUUUUGAGACACCACUUGCACUGUGUUUGACAAUCCACAACGUUGCCAUGGAAAGCUGCUGUGUUUGACAAUCUACAAGUUAUUGGUCAUUUUUUCAAUUGAUAGGUUUCUCUGUAGUGACAAACUUGAUGAUAUCAAUUACCAGAACUAUUAUUUUGA